rnacentral:rRNA from 1 species
AACGAACGCUGGCGGCGUGCCUAACACAUGCAAGUCGAACGAGAAAGGGGCUUCGGCUCCGAGUAAAGUGGCGCACGGGUGAGUAACACGUGGGUAACCUGCCUCUAAGAUUGGGAUAACUCGUCGAAAGAUGAGCUAAUACCGAAUAAGACCACAGUUCCCGCGGGAACAGGGGUCAAAGGUAGCCUCUGCUUGCAAGCUAUCACUUAGAGAUGGGCCUGCGCACCAUUAGCUAGUUGGUAGGGUAACGGCCUACCAAGGCAAAGAUGGUUAGCUGGUCUGAGAGGAUGAUCAGCCACACUGGAACUGAGACACGGUCCAGACUCCUACGGGAGGCAGCAGUGGGGAAUAUUGCGCAAUGGGCGAAAGCUUGACGCAGCAACGCCGCGUGAGUGAUGAAGGCCUUCGGGUCGUAAAGCUCUGUCGGGAGGAACGAAUGCUCCUGAGGUUAACAGCCUCGGGAGGUGACGGUACCUUCAAAGGAAGCACCGGCUAACUCGGUG